rnacentral:tRNA from 1 species
UCCCUUGUGGCUCAGAUGGUAAAGAAUCUGCCUGCGAUGCAGGAUACUCAGGUUCAAUCCCUGGGUUGGGAA